rfam:Picea glauca, whole genome shotgun sequence.
AUGUACAUUUCUACAACAUAGCAUUAAUACACCAUAUCCCAUUAGAACUCUGUAGUUAAGUGCACUCAGGCUAGAGUAGUACUGGGAUGGGUGUCCACCUGGGAAGUCCUAGUGUUUUACAUG